CUAUUUUGUCUAUUUCACAAGAAACAGCUGACUUCCCACCCAAACUUAUUGCAUUGGAUGAUUUCAAUGUGGUUCACAGGGGACAUAUUUGACAAGGAACCAGAAGCAGCCUUCAUGUUGUGCUUCACUAGUUGAUUGGAUGGGGGCAAGGAUUGUUGCUGCAAUAUUGUGGCCUUUGCAUGUGUUGGGAACAAAACUAGUCUAUAGUAAAAUUCACUCUGCUAUUGGAAUAUCAAAGGCUGGCAUCAGUGGAGGAGGCAAUAGGCGUAAAAGUGCAGAAUGGAUAUGGUUUAACAGAGAGUUCUCCUGUUGUUGCUGCUCGGAGACCAAACU